CGAACGCUGGCGGCAGGCCUAAUACAUGCAAGUCGAACGGCUCUUCGGAGCAGUGGCGGACGGGUGAGUAACGCGUGGGAAUGUGCCCUUUGGUACGGAACAACACAGGGAAACUUGUGCUAAUACCGUAUGUGCCCUUCGGGGGAAAGAUUUAUCGCCAUUGGAGCAGCCCGCGUUGGAUUAGGUAGUUGGUGAGGUAAAGGCUCACCAAGCCGACGAUCCAUAGCUGGUCUGAGAGGAUGAUCAGCCACACUGGGACUGAGACACGGCCCAGACUCCUACGGGAGGCAGCAGUAGGGAAUCUUGCGCAAUGGGCGAAAGCCUGACGCAGCCAUGCCGCGUGUAUGAUGAAGGUCUUAGGAUUGUAAAAUACUUUCACCGGGGAAGAUAAUGACGGUACCCGGAGAAGAAGCCCCGGCUAACUUCGUGCCAGCCGCCGCAGUAAAAC
rnacentral:rRNA from 1 species